rnacentral:rRNA from 1 species
AUUGAACGCUGGCGGCAGGCCUAACACAUGCAAGUCGAGCGGAUGAAGGGAGCUUGCUCCUGGAUUCAGCGGCGGACGGGUGAGUAAUGCCUAGGAAUCUGCCUGGUAGUGGGGGAUAACGUCCGGAAACGGGCGCUAAUACCGCAUACGUCCUGAGGGAGAAAGUGGGGGAUCUUCGGACCUCACGCUAUCAGAUGAGCCUAGGUCGGAUUAGCUAGUUGGUGGGGUAAAGGCCUACCAAGGUGACGAUCCGUAACCGGUCUGAGAGGAUGAUCAGUCACACUGGAACUGAGACACGGUCCAGGCUCCUACGGGAGGCAGCAGUGGGGAAUAUUGGACAAUGGGCGAAAGCCUGAUCCAGCCAUGCCGCGUGUGUGAAGAAGGUCUUCGGAUUGUAAAGCACUUUAAGUUGGGAGGAAGGGCAGUAAGUUAAUACCUUGCUGUUUUGACGUUACCAACAGAAUAAGCACCGGCUAACUUCGUG